rnacentral:rRNA from 1 species
CCUACGGGAGGCAGCAGUAGGGAAUAUUGCUCAAUGGGGGAAACCCUGAAGCAGCAAAGUAGCGUGGAGGAUGAAGGUUUAAGGGUGUAAACUCCUUUUGUUAGAGAAGAUAAUGACGGUAUCUAACGAAUAAGUAUCGGCUAAUUCCGAGCCAGCAGCAGCGGUAAUACGGAGGGUGCAAGCGUUAUUAGGAAUUACUGGGCGUAAGGAGGGCGUAGGUGGGUUAAUAAGUCAGAUGUGAAAUACUGUAGCUUAACUGCAGAAUUGCAUUUGAAACUGGUACUCUGGAGUGUGGUAGAGGUAGGUGGAAUUCUUGGUGUAGCGGUAAAAUCCUUAGAGAUCAAGAGGAAUACUCAUUGCGAAGGCAACCUGCUAAAACAUUACUGACGUUGAUGCACGAAAGUGUGGGGAGCAAACAGGAUUAGAUACCCGAGUAGUC